CUUAUUGCUAGCUAAAUAAUUAAAAAAGGAAGGCGAGAAUAAGCAAAUCCGAAGCGUUUCCGGUUUCAAGUUCAUACAAUAAAAAAGUGAUUAAAACGGGUUUCUGCAGUUCGGCGUUUACACCAAUAAUCAAUUUUCAAUUUUCAAUUCUUCAUUAUUCUCAAUUUCAAACUCAAGAUUUUGUGGGAAUGGUGGUGUGUUUCCCUUCAACACCCAAGAAACUGGCAAUGACCAUUGCAUGCUUCCUCUCUGGUGCUGCUGUUUUCGCUGUUGGGGCACACUUCUCUUAUGUUAAUGUUGAACCCCAACGAGCCCGAACCAUGGCUCGCGAUAAGUUGGUCUUAGAUGUGUUGAGAAAGAAGUAUGGUUACAUCCCUCCAUCAGAGGUCCGAAGUAUGGCUCGCAGUGAUUCUCCCAAAAAACAUAAUUGAACGAGACUUUGGGAUUAUAAAUUACACAAUGGGGUGCUUUAGAUUGCUGAAAGCUUUGGUUUUUCUUUCUUUGUCCUUUGUACUCCUUUAAAUGAUUGAUUUCUAAAAGAGUGAAUGAAGAAUAAAUGCUUAUUGCUAAUGUUCACAACCAUAAUUUAAAUGUUCAUAGUUGUAUUUAGCAAUGUGGAUAGUUGCGCUCUUAUCAAAGGUGUGUUAGGAUUGGUCCGUUUUAAA